ensembl:lncRNA
AGGGACAGGCACUGGACCAGCGUUCCCGGAAUAGCAGUAUGAGCCUAUUUUAGGCAUGAAAGGUUACUUUCUGAUCCAGAAGGAAACAGAUUUAAAGAAUGUGAUGGAUUUAGCCAGAGUGAUGGAGAAUCUGCCCUGCUUGACUGAAGAAUGGUUUUACAUGUAAGAAGCUUAAAAGUCACCACUGCAACCUAACAAAUGAAGAGCAGAGCACAAUGACAAAUCAACAAUGCAUCUUAGAUCAUCAGAGAGGGGAGGUUGUAGGAGGAUCCAUCUGCUUCCCUCCAUGUUGGAGAGACAUCGUAGGAAGACACAAAGAACAACCUCAAUCUGGAGCAGAAAGCACCAUGGGAGGCACAAUUGGAGCAGAAAAAUAGGAACUGUAACUGAUGAACUGUUGGAAGCUCAGUGUGGACAAAUCUGAGAAUUAUGAACUCUAGAGGGACCAAGUCACAGGAAUUCUCCUACAUUUUUGUGAAUUUUUACCUCUGGGAAUUUAAUCAAAUUCUCACUGUAAAUAUUUGGGGAAAAUCCUCUAGUAUUUUUCCAGGAAUGAUGGGAAAAGAAGCCAUUGAGAAAUGUGCUAGAGAACUCUGUUUUCUUAGCAGUCUGCUCUCAGGAGAAACUAGUUAACCAGAGCCUAGUGUGUUGGAGUUGUAGCAGAACCCAGCUGAGUUGGAGGGGUGGGUAUUGAACUUGAGGCAUCUUUAGCCUUCUACUUGGGACAGGGGCAUACUUAAUUACAGCCCACUUUUGUCAUCUUGUCUCAUAUAAAGGGGGAGAGAAAACCUGGAAAGUUCAGGGUUCAGGGUCAUAGUCUCUCUGGAAGACUGAGAUCUAGUUAUAAGACCAUAAAAUGCCUCCCCUCCCUCCACACCCUUACCACCACAUUGCUAAAGGCCUCUUGACAGCAGUUCUUUUUACUCAGUACACUGUGUACCAUUAAACAUUUACAAGACAAACUAAAAGGCUAAAGCACAGUUUGAAGAGACAGAACCAGACAUGGUGGGAAGUUGGAACUAUCAG